rnacentral:rRNA from 1 species
GACGAACGCUGGCGGCGUGCUUAACACAUGCAAGUCGAACGGAAAGGCCCUGCUUGCAGGGUACUCGAGUGGCGAACGGGUGAGUAACACGUGGGUGAUCUGCCCUGCACUUCGGGAUAAGCUUGGGAAACUGGGUCUAAUACCGAAUAGGAGCCAUCUUUAGUGUGGUGGUUGGAAAGUUUUUUCGGUGUAGGAUGAGCUCGCGGCCUAUCAGCUUGUUGGUGGGGUAAUGGCCUACCAAGGCGGCGACGGGUAGCCGGCCUGAGAGGGUGUACGGCCACAUUGGGACUGAGAUACGGCCCAGACUCCUACGGGAGGCAGCAGUGGGGAAUAUUGCACAAUGGGCGCAAGCCUGAUGCAGCGACGCCGCGUGGGGGAUGAAGGCCUUCGGGUUGUAAACUCCUUUCGCUAGGGACGAAGCUUUGUUGUGACGGUACCUAGAUAAGAAGCACCGGCUAACUACGUG